GAAAUGCGAUAAGUAAUGUGAAUUGCAGAAUUCAGUGAAUCAUCGAAUCUUUGAACGCACAUUGCGCCCGUCAGCAUUCUGGCGGGCAUGCCUGUUCGAGCGUCAUUUCAACCCUCAGGACCCCCCUUUCGCGGGGAGGGACCUGGCGUUGGGGAUCGGCCCGCCCCCGCGGCGGCGCCGUCCCCGAAAUCUAGUGGCGGUCUCGCUGCAGCCUCCCCUGCGUAGUAGUUACAACCUCGCAUCGGCGCGCGGCGCGGCCACGCCGUAAAACCCCCGACUUUCUGAACGUUGACCUCGGAUCAGGUAGGAAUACCCGCUGAACUUAAGC
rnacentral:misc_RNA from 1 species